rnacentral:rRNA from 1 species
GAUGAACGCUAGCUACAGGCUUAACACAUGCAAGUCGAGGGGAAACGACAUCGAAAGCUUGCUUUUGAUGGGCGUCGACCGGCGCACGGGUGAGUAACGCGUAUCCAACCUGCCCACCACUUGGGGAUAACCUUGCGAAAGUAAGACUAAUACCCAAUGAUAUCCCACGAAGGCAUCCGAAUGGGAUUAAAGAUUUAUCGGUGAUGGAUGGGGAUGCGUCUGAUUAGCUUGUUGGCGGGGUAACGGCCCACCAAGGCUACGAUCAGUAGGGGUUCUGAGAGGAAGGUCCCCCACAUUGGAGCUGAGACACGGUCCAAACUCCUACGGGAGGCAGCAGUGAGGAAUAUUGGUCAAUGGGCGAGAGCCUGAACCAGCCAAGUAGCGUGCAGGACGACGGCCCUAUGGGUUGUAAACUGCUUUUAUAAGGGAAUAAAGUGAGUCUCGUGAGACUUUUUGCAUGUACCUUAUGAAUAAGGACCGGCUAAUUCCGUG